UGAGGUUCCCAGAGCGGCUCCCCUGGGCGCUGGGCCUACAGACCCCUCGUCAGCAGGAGAGACCUCCCAACACGUGGGAAACGCAAGCUGAGCUGUGCGCCACAGGCCUGCGCGGAAGGCCUGCGUCCGGGAGGAGCGAGAUCUUUUAGGAUCUAAUCUCCUUGGGGGCCUGGUGACCUUCCUGUUUCUCUGAGUUCAGAACAUCCAAGAGGAAGCCUUUUGCCUAUUUGAACUUCCAGUUUGGAAGCCCCUGCUGAGAGGCUGUGUCUAAAUUUCAGUCUGUCCCCUGGGGUGCAGAGAUCUUGCGGUCUUUUGGACCUUGCCUCUUUUUGUCCCUUGUGGGUUCUCGUUCCUUCAUUUCCAGCCUAUUUACUUUUAAAAUAAACCUUGUGGUAACCGGGUCUCUGUCAAGGGCAAAAACUCGCGUCCCUGUGGUUCCCCAGCUAGAAAGCUCGCGGUAAGGGGCCCUCUGCGGAAGCGGCUGCGUUGAUUGUCCCCUCAGCGACCGGAGACUGGGAGGAACCUCGUAUUUGCCAAAACAUCAAGGCUUUAAAAUAGCUUCCACUGGAAAUGUUCUUUCUUUUAUCUCCCAUGCUUCUUUUCACAGGGAGACUAAAGUCUAUACGAAGAGGACAUCGAUGGAAAAUUCUUCCUGUUCUCGGAGAAGGACCUGGAACCAUCAGCCUCCUCUCUCAGGACCGUGGGAACCACCUGCACCAGUUCUGAGAGGCUGAGGUAGAAACUCCAGGAGACUGUGAGGUUGUGGGGCUUCUGUAACAGACGGGAUGUUACACAGACUGGCUGGGAUCAAGCAACCACACACCAGGUGGUGUAAACAACAGAAAUAUUCUGGAGGCUGGAAGUCCGAGACCAAGGUGUGGGCAGGUUAAGGAAAAUGUCAUCCAACCUACAGCCAAGAAAGGAGCUGUGAUCAACUGGAGGGGACUCAGAGGGCAUUUUCCAACAGCCUGGCGCAAACAGACUAUACCCCACACGUACCGGGGCAGCCAGCCCUGCUCCCCGAGGUGCUGCGGUCAGUCUCCAAGCGUGGGGGCUGAGCCCCUGUGCCCCGUCCACCUUCCUCCCCCCACUGUGUCCCGGUCUCCAUCACCCCUUUCCUCCUGACACCUCGCUCUGCCAGCACGGUCUUGGAUCACUGUUUCAACUUCCUUCUGAAAUAAAUCCUCUAUUUGAUUUCAAAAA